AUUUAAUUCCUUUAUUUUUAGUUACAAACUCACCAUGUCUUGCUUUUACAAAGUUACUUGAUACAUUAAACAUCGUGAUGUUCAGAAUCUGUCAUAGUCUCUGUGGCUUGUGCUUGUUUUGUAGCUGUAUUUAAUCCAAUAUAACUCCUGUAGCUAAUGGUCUGCUAGACUUCAUACCUUCUCCUGCACUUUCUCUCCAAACAGGCAAGCACAACUGUUUGGUUUGGUUUGUUUUUUCUGGAUGGAGAACUGAGGUGUGAGCAGUGCUGGUGGUCAGAAGAGAGAAGGAGAUGGGUGGUCAGGAGAGAAGGAGGCUGUAAGAAUCUGACCUUUCCACUACUCUGUGAUUUGACUGGCUGAUUACUACUUCUUCAGGUUACCACCCAUUUUUCCAUGUUGCAAAGAGAGGUGUUUAUAUAGCCAUUGUACAAAGUACAAAGUAUCUAGCCAUUAACGAAGUAUCUUCAGUGACAUAUUGUCCUAACCCCUGAAUAUUGCUAAGGUGAAUUGCUAUCCCUGGCUGACAUUUAUAUUAAACUAUUUGCAGUAUGUAUUCCUGAAUAAAAGUCCUGAAUAAAAUCAAUUCCAGUUUAGAUAUAUGGCAUCUGCUUUGGAAA